UACGGAGGGAGCUAGCGUUGUUCGGAAUUACUGGGCGUAAAGCGCGCGUAGGCGGUUACUCAAGUCAGAGGUGAAAGCCCGGGGCUCAACCCCGGAACUGCCUUUGAAACUAGGUGACUAGAAUCUUGGAGAGGUCAGUGGAAUUCCGAGUGUAGAGGUGAAAUUCGUAGAUAUUCGGAAGAACACCAGUGGCGAAGGCGACUGACUGGACAAGUAUUGACGCUGAGGUGCGAAAGCGUGGGGAGCAAAC
rnacentral:rRNA from 1 species